ACCUUGGGAGCGACCAGGGGAAUGGCUGACAGCUUGUUCCAGGCCAGCACGAGAGGAGAGGCAGGGGUGGAAAAGAUCCAGGUCAAGGCAGGUGCUACGAGGUGCCCAGAGCCCAGGAGCCUCCGGACGCAGUGUUGGGGUCAAAUCCAGGGCCUGGCAAAUGUUGGUCCAGCGCAGUCGCUGACUGCUGUCUCACCCCGUGAGGCUGUGUUAGCAGUGGAUGGAGCGGACACCAAGAUGCCUCCACCCCACACGUGUCAGGAGCGGCGUGCUCGGCUGUGAUCCUUGUGUGUGUAGCUCUUUUGUGCUCUUGGUCACCAAGCCCCACAGAUGCGCUCUGCCUUGUGGUGAGCUGGCUGCGCUGCAAACCCACCGCGAGCUGAUAUUUCAAAGACAGACUUAACACACGCAGCCCACCAAGCAUCCUAGCUUCGCCUGCCUGAAUGUCUCCAGAGCAUUGCUCAGCACGCAGUUGGCGGUGGUAUCACACCCGGAGCCCAUUGUGUAAAUUGACUCUCUCGUGUGACGUACAUAGCACUUGUAGCCCAGAAAUGCUUGCCAGCUGGCACGCUGUGGAACUGGUUUUUCCCUAGUGAUGGUGGGGCUGACUGGGAGCUGCAGGUGCUGCUGCCCGGCGUCGGAAGAGAGGAUCUGACCCCAUAUUGCUAGUCUGGGAAAAGAGCCAGAUUCAAAAUUCAAAACUCAAAGCAGGAUGUUGUGCAUCACUAAAAAGCUGAAAAAAUCGCAAGUGGGACCAUUAUAAAGCCGGGACAGCCUGCGUUUCCACUGCAGGGGUGAGGCUCAGAGAGGGAGGUGAGGCUGGGCCCGAGCUGCUCACAGCGGCUGGGCUUUGAACACAGCCCAGGCCCAGCUUCUUCCCGCCUGCAGAGGAGGAUCAAGGCGGCUGCAUCACAAAGCCACACGCAGCCAAGGCCGAGCCACAGGUGGGAAGCGCGAGUGCCACCGAGGUGAAAAUGAACCUAGGUACAAGGCUGAGUGCUCAGAGAGCGUGGAGAAGGGUUUUACUUAGAAAGAAACCAAAACGGCACACGAAUGUUGCAAGAACGGCUUCACUUUGUAAGUCACUAAAAAGAUGGCGAGCACGAAUGCGUUAUGCAUUAUCAUCUCCGUUAUUAGGCUACAAAAACGCACGUGGUGCCUUGGGGCAGGCUGGCAGAAAGCACGCACACGGUCACCCUAUCCGCGAACCUGAGGCGCAGUGCAGACCCACGCCACGGAUGGCACCAAACCCCGCGUUCACUGCUCUCCCUCUUGCAUUCACAACUCUCUGGCAAUUAGACAUAUUAAGGAAUAGACAGCAACCACUAACACAGCGGCACAGUUACAACAGUGUGCUGUAACAGAAGUCAUUCAAGGCCUCAGAACUGUUAUUUGUGGAAUUUUCCAGGUAAGAGUUUCAAACCGCCAUUGACUGCAAUUAACUGACUCCCUGGAACGUGACUGCAACAAGGCGGCCUGCUGGGUGAGGAGGAGGCGCCUCACGGUGGGGCCAGAACCGGGCAGUGGCUCCCUCUGUCCCCAGGGCCUGCGUGUGUUUGAGGAGCUGUCAUUCUCUCCACAUAAACCCGGCCAGUGGCAGAGCCAGGUGAGGGGCUCUGCACCACGCAGGAGGAGGCUGAGGCAGGAGCAAUCUGAACCCUCAGCGUGCCGAGUGCACCAUCGGGGAGGCCGCUGCUGCCGUGCUCCUCUUGGGGCUUCUGCUCUGUCUCAGCCCAGCCCCAUCCUCCAGGGUGGGUGGGCUUCCUGCCAGGCCUUCAGGCUGUGGAAACUCAUGCGUGGUUCUCUGGUUUCCUUGUUGGAUUUUUCCGACUAUAACUUCUAAGACAGGAACAACGUGCCCCUCCACAUCCCCUCCAGGGGUCACCUCUUCCCUGAACUGAUCAGGAAACGCAGGGCCAGGAGCAGGAGUACUCAGGUGACUGUGGCCUGGCGUGGUGUCAAGCACUCGGAGCUUAGGGCCUUCGGAUUCCUUUUUCCCUGAGAGUCGGUCGGUCAAGUGCAGACGCCUCUCUCGGGCUGGGGUCACUAAGUCCACUUAGUGGUGCUGUUAUCUCCUCAGACAUGGGGAGCUCUGUGGGUUUUUCACACGUACUCAAAGGAACCGACGGCAGAAUGACCAGGAUUCAGGACCAGGAUACGAGACGAGCAGGUUCUAAAGAUGCCAGACACGUUGUCCAGGGCGGGUCCUGUGUGCGUCGUCCCUUAGCUGUGAGAAGAGCUGGACAUGCCAGGCAUGGGGCUGGCCACUGCGCAUCUGUCACUCCUAUGUCAGUCCUCACCACUGUGCUGCACGCCAGGGGUCACCGCUGCCCUGAAUGGACGAGGAAAGGUGGGUUACAGUCCCCACAGGACACCCUCCAGGUACCCGGCUCCAGCCACAUGACCUCAUCAGGACUCAGAGGCCGCUGUGGCCUGGCAGAUGCUGGCGCUGGUGCUUAGGACAUUCCUGGCUGGAAGGGGUGCUGUGGGGCCUGCUGCUCCCCUGCUUCAGCAUCCUUCCCCAAGGUCUUCUCUGCUCAUGGCUCAGGGUAGAGGAUUUGCAUUUCUAGCUAAAACAGAGACAGCAGCCUGACCGAAGGUGGCCUUGCUGUGCCCCUGAGAUCCUCCCCCUGAAGCCUCAGUGCAACGGCAUCUCCAGCGAGCCUGCACCUGGCUCGGAGGCAGAGCAUGGCCCCAGCACCCCAUGCUGAGCUUUGGGGUGAUCUCCACUGCCAGACCAUCCCUGACAAGUGCACUCUGAAGGUGCUGGUGGGACUGGUUGCCUGUUACCGAGAACCCCAAAAGACCCUUAAUUGGGAAGCCCUUUGCCCACCUGACAUCCCACAUCCAGGUCCAGUGUGCAGUGUCCUUCUCCCCGUCUGCUCUGCGUGCUUCUUGCUAGCUUGCUAGUGGAUGUGAAUAUUUUCCCAAACCAUCAUGCUGGGUCUAGAGUUUUCUUUCCUGGAACAAUGGAGAAUUGUGGUCAAAUUUAGGACAUUUAAUCUCUCUCCUGAAAUCCUGACAAAAAUCCUCCCAGGGUGACAUCCAAACCUCAGGCUGGCUGAGUUCCGCCCCCACCCGUCGCCAGCCACAGCCCUCAGGCAGCCGCACACCCAAGGCCUCAGCCCCGCGCUCCCUCAUGGUCAUGCGCUGUGACACCUGCCUGCCUUGGCACAGGUGCCCGCGAAGCGGGGCCCUGCAGGGACCGAUGUGUGCUUGUUCCCUCCCCCCUUGCUUAUGUGACCAGGAGAUGAGACAUUUUUGUGGUCCAGGGACAGAAGUAGGAAGGUAGCUUUUCGGAGCAACCUUCACAACCAGCUUACCUCCGCAUGACAGAGGGUCUCUGAAGCGGAAGGGGUGGCUGCAGCCGAAAGAGCAUCAUGGUGGUCUCUUCCUGUUUCUCCCUGCUCCUGGAGCUCUCUGCAGCCUGAGGAGGCAGGGUCCAAGCUCGGGACCAGGCCACGCGGCUUGGUGGCCCAUGUGCCUGGGUCCACGGCAGGGCCACCUUGCUGAAUGGAUGGUGGUGCACAGGCCGGAAGCUGCCCAUACCUCUGCCCAUGCUUCCCAGUGGACAGCACUGUGUGGAAGUGACCAGUCUGGCUGGUUGCUGCCCUCACAGAAACAGUCAAAGAGGGGCGUCUGCUGGAUGGUGGGCCCACGCGCCUCUCCUGGGCUUGGCAGCCAGCCCCACUGCGGACCUGGCAUCCUUCUCUACCUUUCUCUGUGGACCCUUCCUGAUGAGCCCCUCUUUCUGGCACCUGUCCCUAGUGGGUGCCUCUCUCUUUCUGCACCUGCGCAGAAUGGAGGGCCCUGGGGUUCUGGAGUUCUCGUGGUAUUACCCGCGAUCGCCCACAAGGGGAGCUGUGGCGCUCUCCCGGCCAGACAGACCAGAUUGAAGAGGGGCCUGAGUGGGGAGGGCCCCGUGGUUGCUGUGGGGCUACACAUCCGGGGAUUUAACCAGCCAUGGAGUAUGCAAGAAACGGCAUCUUCACUGAACUUGCUCAAAGCUUUUCUUGUUCUUUUCCCUCUGUCAGUGGUGGAGAGCCUACGGCCUGAGCGCCCCAGCGGGCUGUUGUAGCCCUACCCUGCCCAGGAUAAUAACUCUACACAGCACUCACACUGUGUUAGAUAUUUUGCAUUAUCUAGAGGUGCUGUCAAGUGCUUGGAGGACAGGUUAAGGUAUGUGCAAAUAUAUCAUUUUAUACAAAAGACAUGAGCAUCUGCAGAUUGGAACAUCUGCAGGUGGGUCACAAAAGCAAUUCCCAGAUACGGAGGGAUAAGUGUAUUUUAUGGGGGUCGCAGAGAAGGCUGGGUUGGGUAUUGAAAUGACACCGGAAGGAAGAGAGGAGGAAGUCACGUGGCACCUGGUGGAACCGAGCCUCAGGCAGAUGGGUGGGAAUGCACCUGGCCUGUUUAAGGAAGAGCGGGGAAGCCGUGGAGGGCUUGGGGAGCAGAACGAAGGGGAUAAAGAUGCCCUGGACUGCAUACAAAACAGGCUCUGGACUGCAAGGGGCCCAACAGACUGAGGGAGCCGGGCUGCCACGAGCCCUUCCCUCUGGUCGAAAGGUCCCUGGUAGAGAGCGCCUGCUUGGGAGAAGCGCUGGCCAGCGCCGUGCCGGGCUGGUUGCUCUGGUGCCUUCCACACCCUUGCAUCUGGACUCCCUGCUUCUGCUCCUCUCUUGGGGAGCCUUGAAGACUGUUUGAUGAGGCCCAGACCCAUAACCCUCAUCCACAGCGCUGUCUACUCUGAACACACCCUGGCCACUUCCUGAGGGUCAGACACACGUGAGCUCAUGGGCCAUCUGGAUGUCCUACCCAUGCAGGCCUGCAAUUCCCUUCUCCUGGGUAACACAGCCAGCUUGUCACCCUGUAAUCCCUGCCUGUUAAGAUACGGAAACCACCCACAGGCUUCAGCUCCUAUGCCAGUCCAUUAUGGAGUUUUUGCUUUUCUGGAGAGAGAUGCCAGCUGUUCCUGGAGGUCCAGUUCACACAGCUCUUCCCUGGGGACCCCUGGAGUCUGUCUGAACUGGGUGAAGUGCUGUGGUUGUAGGGUCCACCUCUCUGGUCAGCAGAAGCCUGGGCUGUUAGGAUUCAUGGCUGCAACUGCAACUCAAGGCAGCUCUAGGACUCACUCAGCAAGUUCCUGAGACUUGGAGACUUGGUAGACAGACACUGCCUUCCCACGGGUCUGGAGGUGCUCCGAGUCCACGGUCAGAGUACCUGUGUGUUGGAGAUCUGGUGAGGGCUUCUCUCCACUGCCAAGAUGGCACCCUGUAGCUGUGUCCCCUGGGUGGGCAAUAGAAGGGUCAAGGAACACUGGGGUUCCUCUUCAUUUAUCACACUGGCUGUCUUAGUUACUUUUCUUUCAUUGCUGGAGCAGAAUACCUGACACCCAACAUGAAGGAAGCAGACGUUUACUUAGCUCACUGUUUGUGGAGGCUGCAGUCCAUAAUCAGCUGGCUCCAAGGCAGGGUGGCGUGGCACCGGGGCAACACUUCAAGACAGCAGCCAGCAAAAGCAGCCAGAGCAAAAGAGGGAAGAACAAGCCUCUUCUCCUCCCUUGUAUUGUAUGCAGACCUCCCCCUCUCCAGGGCAGAGGUAGCACUCACCCAUCUCCGUGCCCUCCUCUUGCACAGGCUGAGGAUAUUACAAAGUAGGAAUGUGGCUGGCUGCUGAGUCUCUUAGUUCAGCUUCUUAACUGCUCAGUUCAAUGCAGUGUAUCAACCGUAACACUGACCACUCAGCUCCCACCCCUGAAGUGGGGAUGAGUGACAUUCACAGCAUAGCACUCUGUCCCGUUUCCCAAAUGUAUGGCCUCAUUUGCAGAAUGUAUUUAUUCCAUGCUAAUAGCUCCUAAAAUCUCAAAUUUUUUGUGUCAGUUUAUAACUACAGUUCAGAGUCCUAUCUAUAUUGGAAGUGAGAGACUCCAGUCCCGGUCUGUCCUGAGCGAAUCCCCCUCACUGUGAGGGAACAGGAGUGUGGCUGCGCCCAGAACUCUGCUGCUGCCAGGGCCGGUGCGCCCAGACCUCGCCUUCCACCUCUCCCUAUCCCAGGCUGCUGCUCACUGCAGACCUGUUCCGUAGCCUCUUCCUCAGGGCUUUUGUUCAGCUCAAGAGCACCGCGGAUGGACACUAGCUGGCCUUGUGUAGGCCACAUGCAACCUGUAGCAGGAGUAGGGCACCGCUUUGGACUGGCGGCUCCCCUCCUGGCCAGAGAUGACCAAAGUUUUCCCUACUCGGGUGAGGUGUGGGCAAGGCUUGGCGCAUAACUGCCAAUGACACCUCUGCAUCCAGGCUCCCAGGCUCGUGCCCGAGACCCUCCUCACAGCUGUCCAGAUGUGGGGAAGGACAAAGAAAUGCACCUGUCAACCAUGGUCAUUACAUCUACAGGCAGCGAUCAUCCACCCGCCAUGUAGAACCUGUGUCCAGUGUGUUCAAUCAACAAUUCUCUUCCCACAGGAGCAGUUACUCCCAUCCUCUACGUAGAGAAACUGAGGCACAGAGGCCUAAAGUGACUCUGAAGAUCACCAGCCUAGCUGGUCUGCUGGGUUGGAAACUUGGCCUUUUCCUCCCAAAAUGUUAUGACCAUGGACAAGUCCAGACAGGAAAAGAAGAUUCUCCGAAACACAAUGCAAUGGAAACAAAACAAAAUGUGUAAAUAUAAGAAAAGCAAAAUAAAUCAGCCAGAUGAAGUGAA